AUCCAACUGACGAGUGCCAAAUAGAAUGAAACGCACGUCCUGGAU
rfam:Schistosoma mansoni strain Puerto Rico chromosome 1, complete genome